AAGCAAGUCGAGGACGGAUAACGCGUCUGCCUACGGAGCAGAAGAUUGCAGGUUCGAAUCCUGCCGUGGUCG
rnacentral:tRNA from 1 species